CAAGGCUGGACACAGUGGGCAGGAGGCCAGUUUAAGGAGGACUGCUGAAGCCCUGCUGUCAGGCUCAGAAGAGCCCAAGGAACAAGGGACACAGGUGACCUGGAGGACACAGGGUGGCUGCCAGACUGGAAAGGGGACAAGGUUGCACUUAUGGACCACAGAGGCACUGCCAUGCUCUCCCUUCAGUGCCACACUGUCCAUCAGUCCAUCAGUAUUGCCACUUCUCUGAAAUCACAGUUGCGCAUUUCAUCUUCAGGUACCACCAGAAGUCCUCGCCCAAGGCUAGAGAAGUUGCAGAGUGUGAUUUAUUAUGGAUUAUGAAAAGUGUCCAUUACAGGCUCUUCCUGGGCCUGGAAGGGCUACCACCAUUCUUCAUUGGCUGAUGCUCCCAUGUGGCUCAGGGCUCCAGUUGCCUGCUCCAGGGAGCCUUCAAUGACUAUCCUUUAAUGCUCCCACCCACUCCUCAUGUGCAAAGGGUUUAAGCUUAUGAAACACCAAAGCCAAGAAUAAAGUUCUUUGACUGGAAUUUCUCCUUUCCUGUAACACCACCUACAAGAAACUUUUAAUUUGUGUGGGUUAAAGAAGCAUCUUUGAUGAAGUGGAAAAGAGACAGUAUAAUAAAGUUACAAAACACAGUGCAACUGCCACAGCUCAGAGAAAAACACCAGAUUGGGAAUCAGGAGACUGGCCCUGGGAGUAUGGAGGAUCGAACUUGGGACCUUGCGCUUGUGAGGCAGGCACCGGAACCACUGAGCCAAAUCCCUGACCCUUGUUCCUGAUUUUAGAAGGAAAGCUUUCAGUUUUUCCUCCUUUAAUAUGAUGCUGGCAGUAGUUUUCCAUAAAUGAUUUUUAUCAGAUUGAG
ensembl:lncRNA